rnacentral:rRNA from 1 species
UACAUGCAAGUCGAACGAACUCUGGUAUUGAUUGGUGCUUGCAUCAUGAUUUACAUUUGAGUGAGUGGCGAACUGGUGAGUAACACGUGGGAAACCUGCCCAGAAGCGGGGGAUAACACCUGGAAACAGAUGCUAAUACCGCAUAACAACUUGGACCGCAUGGUCCGAGUUUGAAAGAUGGCUUCGGCUAUCACUUUUGGAUGGUCCCGCGGCGUAUUAGCUAGAUGGUGRGGUAACGGCUCACCAUGGCAAUGAUACGUAGCCGACCUGAGAGGGUAAUCGGCCACAUUGGGACUGAGACACGGCCCAAACUCCUACGGGAGGCAGCAGUAGGGAAUCUUCCACAAUGGACGAAAGUCUGAUGGAGCAACGCCGCGUGAGUGAAGAAGGGUUUCGGCUCGUAAAACUCUGUUGUUAAAGAAGAACAUAUCUGAGAGUAACUGUUCAGGUAUUGACGGUAUUUAACCAGAAAGCCACGGCUAACUACGUGCCAGCAGCCGCGGUAAUACGUAGGUGGCAAGCGUUGUCCGGAUUUAUUGGGCGUAAAGCGAGCGCAGGCGGUUUUUUAAGUCUGAUGUGAAAGCCUUCGGCUCAACCGAAGAAGUGCAUCGGAAACUGGGAAACUUGAGUGCAGAAGAGGACAGUGGAACUCCAUGUGUAGCGGUGAAAUGCGUAGAUAUAUGGAAGAACACCAGUGGCGAAGGCGGCUGUCUGGUCUGUAACUGACGCUGAGGCUCGAAAGUAUGGGUAGCAAACAGGAUUAGAUACCCUGGUAGUCCAUACCGUAAACGAUGAAUGCUAAGUGUUGGAGGGUUUCCGCCCUUCAGUGCUGCAGCUAACGCAUUAAGCAUUCCGCCUGGGGAGUACGGCCGCAAGGCUGAAACUCAAAGGAAUUGACGGGGGCCCGCACAAGCGGUGGAGCAUGUGGUUUAAUUCGAAGCUACGCGAAGAACCUUACCAGGUCUUGACAUACUAUGCAAAUCUAAGAGAUUAGACGUUCCCUUCGGGGACAUGGAUACAGGUGGUGCAUGGUUGUCGUCAGCUCGUGUCGUGAGAUGUUGGGUUAAGUCCCGCAACGAGCGCAACCCUUAUUAUCAGUUGCCAGCAUUAAGUUGGGCACUCUGGUGAGACUGCCGGUGACAAACCGGAGGAAGGUGGGGAUGACGUCAAAUCAUCAUGCCCCUUAUGACCUGGGCUACACACGUGCUACAAUGGAUGGUACAACGAGUUGCGAACUCGCGAGAGUAAGCUAAUCUCUUAAAGCCAUUCUCAGUUCGGAUUGUAGGCUGCAACUCGCCUACAUGAAGUCGGAAUCGCUAGUAAUCGCGGAUCAGCAUGCCGCGGUGAAUACGUUCCCGGGCCUUGUACACACCGCCCGUCACACCAUGAGAGUUUGUAACACCCAAAGUCGGUGGGGUAACCUUUA